rnacentral:lncRNA from 1 species
GUUCAUUCGAAGGUGUUACGGAAGUAGCGGUUUUGGAAUGCGAAGUGUUACCGGAAAUCGAUAUAAAGUCGGAUGCGUUUCAGUCGCCGGAGUAUCGAUCACUCAGAGAGAAAUUCGUGCUUUCCAAACUCCNACGGGUGGACUACCUUGGGUAUCUUGUGGGUGAGGGGACGCUUCAAGUUAAUUCAGAGAAAGUACGAGCCGUGGAUGAAUUCCCGAUACCGAAGACUCAAAAGCAACUAAGGAGAUUUCUAGGAAUGACUGGGUGGUAUCAACGUUUUAUUUCCAACUACUCUUCUGUUAUCUUUUCUCUCACCGAACUACUCCGUGGAAAGUCGUAUGAAUGGAAUGAAAAGGCACAAGCAGCGUUUGAUGAUGUUAAGUGUAAAUUAUGCUCAGCUCCAUUUUUAAUUCAUCCCAAUUACGACAAGCCUUUUGUAGUUCAAUGCGAUGCAUCUCUUCAUGGGGUAGGUGCAGUUUUAGCCCAAUGUGAUGACACAGGUUGCGAGCGUCCGUUAGCUUACAUGUCCAAGAAGCUGAACAAGGCUCAGCGAAACUACACGGUAACGGAACUCGAAUGCUUGGCGGUAGUACUGGCCAUAAAAAAAUUCCGCAUGUACAUCGAUGGUCAUCCCUUCAAAGUUGUUACGGAUCAUGCAAGCCUCCGUUGGCUUAUGAACCAGUUAGAUCUCAGCGGUAGAUUAGCCAGAUGGGCACUAAAAUUACAAGGUUACUCGUUCGAAAUCGAGCAUAGGAAAGGAAGCGAAAAUGUAGUGGCUGACGCUUUGUCUCGUUCAUUCGAAGGUGUUACGGAAGUAGCGGUUUUGGAAUGCGAAGUGUUACCGGAAAUCGAUAUAAAGUCGGAUGCGUUUCAGUCGCCGGAGUAUCGAUCACUCAGAGAGAAAUUCGUGCUUUCCAAACUCCCAGAUUUUCAAGUAAUCGACGAUUACAUAUAUUAUCGUACAGGUUUUUCCGUGUUGGAUUCUGACCAAGUCGAUGAGUCGUGGAAAUUAUUUGUUCCCGAAGAAUUGAGACAGG